UACAGAGGUCCCAAGCGUUGUUCGGAUUCAUUGGGCGUAAAGGGUGCGUAGGCGGCGCGGUAAGUCGGGUGUGAAAUCUCGGAGCUUAACUCCGAAACUGCAUUCGAUACUGCCGUGCUUGAGGACUGGAGAGGAGACUGGAAUUUACGGUGUAGCGGUGAAAUGCGUAGAUAUCGUAAGGAAGACCAGUGGCGAAGGCGGGUCUCUGGACAGUUCCUGACACUGAGACGAAGGCCAGGGGAGCAAACGGGAUUAGAACCUACCUAGUCAGUCCAAGACCAUCU
rnacentral:rRNA from 1 species